ACAGUCCAAACUCCACUAUGGCCAAGACCAAAGAGCUGUCAAAGGACACCAGAAACAAAAUUGUAGACCUGCACCAGGCUGGGAAGACUGACGCGUGCCGUCUACUGUAUUCUCUAACAUCCUUCUGUCCUCUGUGAAGACGUCCAGCUCUCAAACAACCACCACUAAUGGGGCAGUGGUCAUCACCCAUGUCCACCCCUAUGGGAACGGGAUGGGCAUCCAAAAGCGCUGGGAACCAUACAGAUCAUGAUUGGUUUGAUGAUUAUGUUGACAGGAAACGUGAUGACUCUUGGACCACAAGUAGACAAUAUUGGAGGAAUUAGUGGAAUAUUUGUCUGGGGAUCUAUCAUUGCAAUUUCCACGACAAGGCUCUCUAACUGUUGCUGCUGACAACAAACUGAACAAAUGUCUGGGCUCCCUUAGAAUGAAUGUUGUCGCCACGGUUACUGCUCUUAUUGGCACCUUCUGCAUUCGUUAGACAGUGCUGGGAUCAUCUUGUACCACUACUACUGUGACCAUCCAGGCAAUCCUUCAUGCUACCCUCCAUCCUAUGUCAACUACACUACGUCCUCUGUCUGUCAACAGUAUUGGGUAUAUACCAAAUGCUUAUUCCUUUGGUCAGGAGAUAUUUGUAAAUCGGUAAAGGGGUAUUUAUCAUCUAUAAUCGUAUUACUAGACUAUUGUACGUACUGUUUAAUAUUUUUUAUUAGUUUAAAUUAUACCCCAUUUGUGAGUGAGUCUUGUGGACAUAAAAUUGAGCAAAAAUGACCGUUUAAAAUAAAUAAUUUGAUAUUGAGAUACAUUGUAUGCGCCCAAAAAUGUGUACUAAUACAAUUGCUCAGAGAAAGAGUUUUUGCUUAACAAGUAAUAUUUUUUUUCAAACAGGUAUGGGUCACAAUUAAUGAUACCCGUGGUUUCAAUGCCUCACUGUGCAAGGAUAACAGCACUGACACUUUUUCUAAACUUUUUGUGAUUUGGAGACCCCAUUGGGAGGGAUCUUAGAACAGUCAUCUGUACAGAAUCCAUCCAGAUCAUUGAUAUCCUUCGUCUGCGCUUAUUUUAUGCAUUUCCUUUCUGCUUAAUGCAUUCUUGUUUCAAUGCCAAACCCAGCACUGGUGUGUGUGGUGAAAGAGCUCUAUGUUCCAACCCAGACAGGAAGAUCACGUCAGUGACUCAACCCACUCAAAUGACGCACCCCUCCUAGGGACGGCAUGA